UGUAUGUAUCUAAUUUAUAAUUUGGAUUAUUAGGUUUUUCAUUUGAACUGAAUUAAGUUAAUUUAUUU
rnacentral:tRNA from 1 species